rnacentral:rRNA from 1 species
AGGAUCAUUGUCGAAACCUACCUAGCAGAAUGACCCAUGAAUCUGUGAUUGUUCUGGGGGGAUUGAAGGUUGUGCUUGUGCAGCUGUCGUUCUCCCUCGUCGGGAAGCAUGCGCGUGCCUUAAUCCCCCUUGUGGGAGGGUGGUUCGUGGAAGCUCUCCUCGAUCAGACAACGAACCCCGAGGCGAAAUCGCCCCAAGGAACUCAAAAUGUAGACCUUGCUCCCUUUGCCCCGGAAACGAUGUGUGUGGGGAAGCAAUGUUGUCUUUUGUAACCAAUAAUGACUCUCGGCAACGGAUAUCUCGGCUCUUGCAUCGAUGAAGAACGUAGCGAAAUGUGAUACUUGGUGUGAAUUGCAGAAUCCCGUGAACCAUCGAGUCUUUGAACGCAAGUUGCGCCCAAAGCCAUUAGGUCGAGGGCACGUCUGCCUGGGCGUCACAUAACGUUGGCCCCCAAACACACAUAGCAUGAUGCGUGGGGGUGGAUAUUGGCCUCCCGUGUGCUGUAGUGAUUGCGGUUGGCCAGAAAACGAGUCAACGGCGAUGAGCGCCAUGACAAGCGGUGGUUGAGAGACCGUCUGAGUCGAAUCGUGUGCGUUCGUUGACCAAUGGGAGCUCAUUGACCCUACUGCAUCGUCUGGACGAUGCUCUUGUAGCGACCCCAGGUCAGGCGGGGCUACCCGCUGAGUUUAAGCAUAUCAAUA